GGGGGUGUAGCUCAGAUUGGUUAGAGCGCCGGCCUGUCACGCCGGAGGUCGCGGGUUCGAGUCCCGUCACUCCCGCCA
rnacentral:tRNA from 1 species